CUUCGUAUUUGCUGUUGCUUGAUUUUUUGUUUUUUAAUGUGAAUCUUUGGCUGUUUUUUGUUUCAUUUCAUCUUCCUUUUUUUCAAACACACUCAAAGGUUGAAUAAACAAAGACAACGUUAUCCACUGGGAGAGGCCAAGGAAGGAUAUUAAUGAUUGUAAACUGUCAUUUCUAAUCAUCUUUCCUCGGGCAAACCGGAAUCAACUUAUCAACGCAGUUGACAAGAUUUGGACUUGCCUAAUUAUCAUCAACAUCAGGGGACCAUCAUAAUUUUCCUAUUCCAUGUCUAACUUUUCAAGUCCAUCAAGUUUUACCACAUUUUAAUUGGAUUAAGUUUACGUUAAUCACAAUCACUUAAUUCAGAAAGAUUAUUCAAGAUGAUGGUGAUCACCAUUUUGAAGGAUUGCAAAUUAAAUUAAAUUACAUCAAGAUUGUUGAACUUGGUAAGCAAUGAUUGAAGAACCAGAGGAUUCUAAUUCUAUGUUAUUUAACAAACAUAACAAUAAAAGGAGAGAAAUGGUAAACCAUAAAAGGCAAUAGAAGAGGAUAGCCCACUAUGUGUCCAAAUUGUGUGGGUUUUCAUUGGAACCAUUAAACUCAUAGUUAGGUUAACAUGAACAAUAACAACAAUAAUAAUAAUAAUUAUUAUCCCCACCGUUUCUAUCUGAACCUGUGAAAGUUGAUCAACAAAAGGGUGUUGUGUUCAGAAAGUGUUCAGACUUGUUGAUAAGUUAUAAAUCACAUUAGACCAGUUUUAAUCAUCACUUAUUAUCGAUCAACCUGCUACAUUCAAAGAUGACUUGUUAUCAUGAUUAGUGAGAGUUUUGAAGCUUGGUCUAAACAGCGGCUAAUAUUUUUCAAUGAAGAAUCAACAUUACCUUUUGACUUUCUCUAUCCACCCAAACAAAAUUUUACCUGAUAAUCAUCAUCAACUUCAUCUUCAUUUUUAUCAUCACCUUUAGUUUAACCUUUAUAACAGUUUGUUAUCAAGUGCAUCAAAAUUAUAUAGCCUAUUAUAUCAAGUCAACCUAAAGUCAACUUGAAUUACAAUUACCUUGCUGUUAACUUUAUCUAGAUAAACUUCAACUUCUAGACUCAAGGCGUAAUUCAACGCUUAAAGAGUCCAAAGACGCAAAGAUUUUAAAGCUUACACCUUGAAUGGAGGAAACAGAGAUUGGCUACACAAUGAUAUAAAUAAAUGGCUGAACUGAAUUACGGGACUUAACAUGAUAAACUGAAUAGCAAUCAACUCAGGAUGAGACAAGUUGAGUGUAUUGCAACUAAAUCAGCCAAUCAUCAUAAUACUCAUCAAUUAUGCCAGUAAAGUUCAAGAUGAUUACAAAUUGACGAGAAGCUGUUUAUUUUUCAACAAUGAUUGUUGUCGUUUCUCCAAUUUAUGCUGUCCAUUCAAUUUAAAGCAAUUUCCACUUUCAAUUUGAUGGUCAAGACUUUCAUUUAAUUUAAAGCUAAUAUCAGGGUUGCUUUAUGGAAUGAGAAAAAUUACUUGAAAUAUUCAUUUGUUUUGUCCAAAAUAAUAUUUGAUUUUUCAAGAAAAUGGCCCAACAAUAAUAACCAGAAUCAACCCUCGCAAAAGCACAAUAAACUAUCCGGAAGAAGGAACGAUAAUUAACAAUUUAUUGACUAAACAAAUCAAAUUGUUUAAUAAUAUUGUUCCUACGAUUAUCAAUGAUUAUUACUUAACAUCUCGAUACCUUCAGUUGUUGGCCAAUUUACCGCUAAAUCAUUGUUAUAAGCUGAUUCUUAACCCAUUUACUCAAAUUGAUACAAUCAAAUUAGAUAAUCUGGGUUUAAUCAUUAUAUCGAAUCACAAUGAUUAUAGUGUGAUAAAUUUUGUCUAGUUAAUCUGCUAAUUGGGAUCAUUUUUCAUUGAAUCGCAGAAAGAUUUCAGUUUGUAUUUAAGCUUGUUUUAUGAUGUAAGCUUUGUGUCCAUUGGUAAUAUUGAACUCAAAUGAAACUGACCAUUUAAUCAAUCAAAUGAAAUCUGUAUUGAAAAGUAUUGAAUUGCCAUCUGUUUAGCAUUAAAUUUCAAUGUAUUUAAAGUGAAAGAUUAAAAUGUUGUCUCAAUCUGGGCUUGAGUCAAGAAUAAUGUUAACAAUGAUUAUUGCUGUCAGUCAAAUAAAAAGUUAUUAUUGCUAAUUAGAAACAACAGGAACAUAACAAUUUACUGUAAUUGUAAGCAAUUUAUUGAUUAGUCUGUCAACUGAAUUUUGUUAUUUACCCCAAACUAUUAGCUAUUAUGUUUGAUGAAGAUGAUGCUAAACAAUUGUAAACUGUUCAACCAGUUUUCAUCUUGCUUUCUCGCUCUCUCAUUCAAUCUUUUAUUGUAGUUUAACUUGUUUACUUGUUUUUCGCUUAUUAUUUAUUAAUUGUAUGUCAUCAAUAAAUUUAAAUCUGGUUAUCUGUUUCCGGAAAAAUUGAACUUUGGGUUUACUAGUUGAUAAAAAUAAAUCUCCUUAAAAAUGGACACCAUUUGAAUGGGAAAACAAAUACACUUUCACUAUUAGGUGAGAAGCAUCACUAUUUGCUCAUUAUUAGUGCCCAUCUUUUUUAUUUGAUAUUAUUGUUAAUACAAUUAUAAUCAUUCCUGAGUCAUUAAUCUAUCACAAUUAAUGAAGCCAGUUGUAAGUUAUAGAUAUAUAAAUAUAGAUAAUUCAAUAGAUAAGUAUAUUAAUAUAAUAAUUAGAUGAUGAUGGGCUUGAGGUGAAAACAUCAACAAAAGAAGUAAAUCUUGACCAGUCCAAUUAUACACUGUUGAUUGAUUUAUAUUAGAGUAGACAUAAAAACUGAUCAAUAUUGACAACUUGAAAACUAAUAUAUUUCAGUGUUUAAUUAUAAUUGUUUUUAAAUGAAAAGUAAACCAUUAAACUUGAUAGUUAACACAGAUGUUGAUUAAUUUGUUGUCAAAAAUUUACGCUGUGAGAAUAAGAUGCAAAAGUUAGGUUAAAAUAGCCUACAGAACGGUUAUGUUUUGUUAGUGAAAAUAACUUAAAACCUAAUCAACUUAUUACAUUUGUAUGAUAAUUGAUCAAUUAUUUCAUAGAUAACAAUUCAUCUUGUAAACUAACUGUUAUUAUAAAUGUAUUUAAUUAUGCUUUGUGAGGAAACAGAUAUGUUUUGUAUCAAUGUGAGUUUGGUAGCUUCGUUUAAAAAAGGCCGAGAAGCUGAUGAUCUUUAUUUCAUCGAUACAAAGGAAAUCCUUACAACUUCAAAUGAUUAAGACGAUGGCAAAUGAACAUGUUUAUAUGAACCCAAAAACCAACUUCAGCCAUCUUAUUCAAUUGAUGUUUACCUUUGAAUGUGUGGUAAAAGGCAAAGGAAAUGGUUGAAAAUCUGAUUCAACAAUUGUGCCUAGAGAUUGUAUCGAUUGACAUCACAAACAGCUGUCCUAAUAUCAUUUUCAUUUCGUGACUCAUUUCCACCAAUUCCACCUAAUAGAGAUUAUCCUUGGACACUUUUACUUUUACCAUUUUGAAUGUUAUUUCCAUCUUUAAUCUUUAUCUCAACCAAAUCGACGGCUUUGCAUUGUCAAUCUUAAAUGUUGUCCAUAAUAAGGCCAAAUAUCAACAAAAUGGCCUGUUAAUAGACAGCCUCAAACAAAGUAAUAACCAUUUAUUCAAAUAACGGCUCUAUUUGGUUAGGUAAUAUACGCCGAAAAUGAUGAUUUAGCUAACUUAUAACAUGCUGAAAUGUACUUGAUUAAUAAAUAAAGGGAGAAAAAUGGUGAACUUUCACCCGAUUUAGCUAGUUGAUUGUAAAUAAAAUUUUCAAUAAUAA